rnacentral:misc_RNA from 1 species
AGCCCUUGACAUCCCGGUCGCGGUUUCCAGAGAUGAAGGCCUUCAGUUCGGCUGGACCGGUGACAGGUGCUGCAUGGCUGUCGUCAGCUCGUGUCGUGAGAUGUUGGGUUAAGUCCCGCAACGAGCGCAACCCUCGCCCUUAGUUGCCAUCAUUCAGUUGGGCACUCUAAGGGGACUGCCGGUGAUAAGCCGAGAGGAAGGUGGGGAUGACGUUCGAGAGUACGUCC